GCCGUCGUAGCACAAUGGUAGUGCGUUGCUUUCCUAUGUUCCUGUUGGGUGCGAGGCAGAGGCUGUGGGUUCGAGUCCCACCGUCGGUU
rfam:Hypholoma sublateritium FD-334 SS-4 unplaced genomic scaffold scaffold_9, whole genome shotgun sequence.